AUUGAACGCUGGCGGCAUGCCUAACACAUGCAAGUCGAACGAGUGGCGGACGGGUUGGUAAGGUAUGUGAACCUGCCUGAUGGAGGGGGAUAACUACUGGAAACGGUAGCUAAUACCGCAUACCAUCAGAUGUGCCCAGAUGGGAUUCGCGUGUGGGUGGGGUAACGGCUCACCAAGGCGACGAUCCCUAGCUGGUCUGAGAGGAUGCCCAGCCAACCUGGAACUGAGACACGGUCCAGACUCCUACGGGAGGCAGCAGUGGGGAAUAUUGUACAAUGGGCGCAAGCCUGAUGCAGCCAUGCCGCGUGUAUGAAGAAGGCCUUCGGGUUGUAAAGUACUUUCAGCGGGGAGGCGUUACCCGCAGAAGAAGCACCGGCUAACUCCGUGCCAGCAGCCGCGGUAAUAC
rnacentral:rRNA from 1 species